UCCAGGGUAGCCUAGUGGACUGGCAUCUGCCCGGUAAGCGGAACACUGUGUGUUCGAUUCCCAUCCCUGGAC
rnacentral:tRNA from 1 species